CUAAGGUUGUGUAAUGUGGUAAAUUACUGUUUUUACCCUAGAUUUCAAUAUAAUCUUAUACCUGCAAUAUGCCCAUUUUUAUUACAAAUUUGACAUGAAAUAUUGAAGUUAAUAGCAUGCAUGAGGUGUAUUAAAAGAAUUUGGAUUAAUAAAAUUCUGAGCAUGACUAUCAGAAUUCCUAAAAGAACCAUGGCUCCUUCCUCCAAAUCCUCCUCUUUGAUUCUGAAAACGUGCACCCCUGCCUCUAUUUUUAUAAAAAU
rnacentral:lncRNA from 1 species